rnacentral:rRNA from 1 species
UACGUAGGGUGCAAGCGUUGUCCGGAAUUAUUGGGCGUAAAGGGCUCGUAGGCGGUCCAUCGCGUCGGGAGUGAAAAGCUGGGGCUUAACCCCAGUCCUGCUUCCGAUACGGGUGGACUAGAGGUAGGUAGGGGAGAACGGAAUUCCUGGUGUAGCGGUGAAAUGCGCAGACUAUCAGGAGGAACACCGGUGGCGAAGGCGGGACUCUGGGCCGAUACUGACGCUGAGGAGCGAAAGCGUGGGGAGCAAACAGG